rnacentral:rRNA from 1 species
GACGAACGCUGGCGGCAUGCCUAAUACAUGCAAGUCGAGCGAACAGAUGAAGUGCUUGCACUUCUGACGUUAGCGGCGAACGGGUGAGUAACACGUAAGGAAUCUACCUAUAAGCGGGGGAUAGCAUUCGGAAACGGGUGCUAAUACCGCAUAAUAUCUUCUUCCGCAUGGAAGAAGAUUGAAAGACGGCUCUGUUGUCACUUAUAGAUGACCUUGCGGUGCAUUAGUUAGUUGGUGGGGUAACGGCCCACAAAGACGAUGAUGCAUAGCCGACCUGAGAGGGUGAUCGGCCACAUUGGGACUGAGACACGGCCCAAACUCCUACGGGAGGCAGCAGUAGGGAAUCUUCCGCAAUGGGCGAAAGCCUGACGGAGCAAUGCCGCGUGAGAGAAGAAGGCCUUCGGGUCGUAAAACUCUGUUAUAAGAGAAGAACAAAUUGUAGAGUAACUGCUUCAGUCUUGACGGUAUCUUAUCAGAAAGCCACGGCUAACUACGUGCCAGCAGCCGCCGUAA